GGAAGCAGAGAGAUCAUUGUUAAUGCAGCAGCCAAUUCUCACAUGAAGAAAGGGACUGUGCUCGGGCUGUGUCUGUGGCAGGGACUUGAGGAACUCAUCUGCAGCAGCUCCCAGGUGGAGGCAGUUUGUACACUUGAUGUGGGUGACACCAGCCAUUGCUCUGGCACCAAUUUAAUAAUCUGAAGGUGCAGGCUUUGGCUCUACAGAGUAGCUAAGAAUUCCUUCCUGCUUGUAAGGGAUAGAGAGGAACAAAAAAGCAACAAACUGACGAUUUUGUUUCUGCUUUCAUUUUUCAGGCUUUUUAUGAGGCUAAAAAGACAGACAGUCCCAGGCAGGAGGAUUUGCUACCCCUAUAUUUCAGUGUGGGAGAGCAGUAUAAUGUGCUUCUAUGUCCAAAAUAAAAAAGCCAACAAAGUCACUGAUUGUGUGAUAAAUCACAGGCAUUGUGGGUUUGUGCUGGCUGAGUUACACAGGCUGCUGCCUACCAUCCACAUCUGCCUUUCUGGUAGUGAGAAGGUGAAUUAA
rnacentral:lncRNA from 13 species